UUCUUAAGUCUGGUAAUUGGAAUGAGUACAAUCUAAAUCCCUUAUCGAGUAUCAAUUGGAGGGCAAGUCUGGUGCCAGCAGCCGCGGUAAUUCCAGCUCCAAUAGCGUAUAUUAAAGUUGUUGCAGUUAAAAAGCUCGUAGUUGGAUUUGUGGUGUGUCCAGUCGGCCUUUGCUCUUUGAGUGAUUGUGCUGUACUGGUCUGCCAUGUUUGGGUGGAAUCUGUGUGGCAUUAGGUUGUCGUGCAGGGGAUGCCCAUCGUUUACUGUGAAAAAAUUAGAGUGUUCAAAGCAGGCUUAUGCCGUUGAAUAUAUUAGCAUGGAAUAAUAAUAUAGGACCUUGGUACUAUUUUGUUGGUUUGCGCACUAAGGUAAUGAUUAAGAGGGACAGUUGGGGGUAUUUGUAUUCCAUUGUCAGAGGUGAAAUUCUUGGAUUUUUGGAAGACAAACUACUGCGAAAGCAUUUACCAAGGAUGUUUUCAUUAAUCAAGAACGAAAGUUAGGGGAUCGAAGA
rnacentral:rRNA from 1 species